rnacentral:misc_RNA from 1 species
AGCUUAUCACUGGCGGUCCCUCUAGAGAUCCACUUGCGUGGCAACUAAAGGCGAGGGUUGCGCUCGUUGCGGGACUUAACCCAACAUCUCACGACACGAGCUGACGACAGCCACGCAGCACCUGUGCUCCUCCCACCCGAAGUGAAGGACUCCUUUUCGGGAGUCCAAAGAGGGCAAGUCGAGCCCUGGUAAGGUUCUUCGCGUUGCCUCGAAUUAAACCACAUGUUCCACCGCUUGUGCGGGUCCCCGUCAAUUUCUUUGAGUUUUAAUCUUGCGACCGUACUCCCCAGGCGGGAUGCUUAACGCGUUAGCUACGCCACUGAAGGGUAACCCCCCAACGGCUAGCAUCCAUCGUUUACAGCGUGGACUAC